rnacentral:rRNA from 1 species
AGUGAACGCUGGCGGUAGGCCUAACACAUGCAAGUCGAGCGGCAGCACAGUAAGAGCUUGCUCUUACGGGUGGCGAGUGGCGGACGGGUGAGGCAUACAUCGGAAUCUACUUUUUCGUGGGGGAUAACGUAGGGAAACUUACGCUAAUACCGCAUACGACCUACGGGUGAAAGCAGGGGAUCUUCGGACCUUGCGCGAUUGAAUUAGCCGAUGCCGGAUUAGCUAGUUGGCGGGGUAAAGGCCCACCAAGGCGACGAUCCGUAGCUGGUCUGAGAGGAUGAUCAGCCACACUGGAACUGAGACACGGUCCAGACUCCUACGGGAGGCAGCAGUGGGGAAUAUUGGACAAUGGGCGAAAGCCUGAUCCAGCCAUACCGCGUGGGUGAAGAAGGCCUUCGGGUUGUAAAGCCCUUUUGUUGGGAAAGAAAAGCAGCAGGUUAAUCCCCCGCUGUUCUGACGGUACCCAAAGAAUAAGCACCGGCUAACUUCGUG